UUGUUUGAAAUACACAGAGAACUAGAACAUAAUACUGCUCUGGAGAAAUCUAUUUGUGAGGAGUGGGUGUCAUGGGAGACAGAGAGACUCUGAACUCAACAUUCAAUAGGUCACUGGGUCAGAAAGACAAGAGAUGGCUGCUGCUACUUCGCAAGGCUUCUGUUUGCUGGUGGCCCAUGAUGCUGUGUCACUGCAAGGGUGCUUCAAGGUGCAAUGAGGCUUGAGAUGCCUUGAGAGAUGAAGAAGCCACCUGAGGUACUGAAGCACUGUCUGAAUAAAAAGAAACAAGCAGAACUGGUUACACAACUACAAGGCACUUUCUUGUAGCAUCUUUACCUUGUGGGACUGUUUUUCAAAAAGCUAAAAAAUUUAUAAAUCCCAGAUAGCUUUUGGGUAUUUAAUUUACCUCAAGAAUUUCCAGCUUAUAAUGAAAGAACAACUGAAGGUGACCAGACAGACAAUAUACCACAUUGCUACAGCUGUAUGCAACCCAGUUCUGAUGUUCCUUCAGCUUGGGCUCUAUCAGCCACUUCAUCAUCCUGAGACAUCUGGCAAAUGACCAAUACACUUUUAUCUCAUGUUUUUAUGGAUAUAACAGCUUGAACAAGAUUAAAAGUAAAAUUUGCACCU